UGCGAGUCAUAUGUUCUUCGUGAACAUGGCGUACUGCUCAGUAACACGUGGACAACCUGCCCUUGGGACCGGGAUAACCCCGGGAAACUGGGGAUAAUACCGGAUAACGCAUAUCUGCUGGAAUGCUUUAUGCGUAAAAUGGAUUUGUCUGCCCAAGGAUGGGUCUGCGGCCUAUCAGGUAGUAGUGGGUGUAAUGUACCUACUAGCCUACGACGGGUACGGGUUGUGAGAGCAAGAGCCCGGAGAUGGAUUCUGAGACAUGAAUCCAGGCCCUACGGGGCGCAGCAGGCGCGAAAACUUUACAGUGCGGGAAACCGUGAUAAGGGGACACCGAGUGCCAGCAUCAUAUGUUGGCUGUCCAGAUGUGUAAAAUACAUCUGUUAGCAAGGGCCGGGCAAGACCGGUGCCAGCCGCCGCGGUAACACCGGCGGCCCGAGUGGUGAUCGUGAUUAUUGGGUCUAAAGGGUCCGUAGCCGGUUUGGUCAGUCCUCCGGGAAAUCUGACGGCUCAACCGUUAGGCUUUCGGUGGAUACUGCCAGACUUGGAACCGGGAGAGGUAAGAGGUACUACAGGGGUAGGAGUGAAAUCUUGUAAUCCCUGUGAGACCACCUGUGGCGAA
rnacentral:rRNA from 1 species